GACGAACGCUGGCGGCGUGCUUAACACAUGCAAGUCGAACGAAAAGAGGGAAAGAGCUUGCUCUUUCCGGAAUUGAGUGGCAAACGGGUGAGUAACACGUAAACAACCUGCCUUCAGGAUGGGGACAACAGACGGAAACGACUGCUAAUACCGAAUAAGUUCCAAGAGUCGCAUGGCCCAUGGAAGAAAAGGUGGCCUCUACCUGUAAGCUAUCGCCUGAAGAGGGGUUUGCGUCUGAUUAGCUGGUUGGAGGGGUAACGGCCCACCAAGGCGACGAUCAGUAGCCGGUCUGAGAGGAUGAACGGCCACACUGGAACUGAGACACGGUCCAGACUCCUACGGGAGGCAGCAGUGGGGAAUCUUCCGCAAUGGGCGAAAGCCUGACGGAGCAACGCCGCGUGAGUGAUGACGGCCUUCGGGUUGUAAAACUCUGUGAUCCGGGACGAAAAGGCAGAGUGCGAAGAACAAACUGCAUUGACGGUACCGGAAAAGCAAGCCACGGCUAACUACGUG
rnacentral:rRNA from 1 species